GUUCCCAUAGUUCAACGGAUAGAACGAGAGACUCCUAAGCUCUAGAUGGUGGUUCGAUUCCACCUGGGGACACCA
rnacentral:tRNA from 1 species